rnacentral:rRNA from 1 species
UACAGAGGUCUCAAGCGUUGUUCGGAUUCAUUGGGCGUAAAGGGUGCGUAGGCGGCGCGGUAAGUCGGGUGUGAAAUCUCGGAGCUUAAUUCCGAAACUGCAUUCGAUACUGCCGUGCUUGAGGACUGGAGAGGAGACUGGAAUUUACGGUGUAGCGGUGAAAUGCGUAGAUAUCGUAAGGAAGACCAGUGGCGAAGGCGGGUCUCUGGACAGUUCCUGACGUGAGGCACGAAGGUCAGGGAGCAAACGGG